rnacentral:lncRNA from 1 species
CUAGUUUGAGGCUAAGUCCUAUUUUGGGCCGAUGCUCCUCUGGCUGUUGCUGAUCAGGUGAAUUUUCAUGGGGGAUAAUAAUGCCACAGGGAGAUUCAUCACCAGGUGUGUUAGGGGUUGCAUUUCCACUAGCAGAAGAAACAGAUGGGGCAGAACUAAUUGGUCGUAAUGUUGGUUUAAGGCAGGGCUUUUGUUCAGGCUCUUCCUCUUCUUCCUCCGGUUCUUCUCUUUUUUCUUCUUUUUCUGCUUUUUCCUCCUCCUCCUCCUCAGACUCUGGCUCUUGUUUGAUUUGUGGCUGCCUACGGCGCUCAGCCUCCUGCUCCAUCCUCUGGAGUUCUGCAUCUGGAUCUGGGUGUCCUUCUGCAAGAAGGCGCUGCCUGAUUUCUUCUAAUUCUUCCUUUUCUCUCUUCCUAUCCCGCUCAUCUGCUUCCAUCUCUUUCUCUCGGUCUCGGAGUCUCUUCUGAAGAGCACUACCCCUGUAGUAUUUUGGAUCAUCUCUGUCAUCAUCAUAAUCUUCUAAGAAUUCUUUUAACCGUUUAGCUUCUUUUGCCAUCUCCCUCCUUCUUUCUUCUUCCCUUUCAGCCUCUUUUUCAUAUUCUCGACUUUUCUUCCUCUCUCUGAUUUCCCAGUUUUUAAGACGCUCUUGAUACGCAGCUUCCUUUUCCCGCAGCUUCCUCUCUAACUUUCGGCGUUCAUAGGCAUCUUCUUCAUCUUCUUCUCUGUCUCUCUUUUUAUCCUUUUCUCGUUCUCGUUCCCGUUCUCUUUCCCGUUCUCGUUCCCGUUCCCUUUCACGCUCCCUUUCUCGCUCUCGUUCUCUUUCCCUGUCUCUGCUUUUUUCUCUUGAUCUGCUCCGAUCCUUGUUGCGAUCCGAACUUCUUUCACGAUCUCUGUCCCGAUCUCUGUCCCGUUCUCGGUCUCUGUCCCGGUCCUUAGUUCGGUCACGAUCCCUAUCUCGCUCCCGUUCACGCUCCCGUUCCUUUUCCUUCUCUCGUUCACGCUCCCGUUCCCUUUCUCUUUCACGCUCUCUCCUUUCUCGUUCACGCUCCCGUUCCCUUUCUCUUUCUCUGCGUUCUUUUUCAAUUUCCUGUCUUUCUUUCUCCUUUUUGCCUUUUUCCUCCUCCAGUUUCUUGUGUGUGUCUCUGAAUUUACUGAUCUCUCUUGAUAUCAGGUCUCUUUUGUCUUCCUCCAUUUCUAUAGCAUUUAUAUCCUCGUCCUCCUUCUUUUCCUUUUUCUUCUUCCUGGGGUGAGAGUCAGAUUCCUGGGAGGGGGCAUUGAGCUCGCUGGAAUAUUCUCGUAUUAAGACAUCAAUGGCCCCUUUAAUUAUCUGAUCUCUUCUCUUUGUUUCCUCAUCCAGUGCUUCGUCAUCAUCAUUUGUAGUCUCUGGUCUGGAAUUCCCAUUAGAGGCCUUUUUCUUUGCUUUCCAUUCAUCUAGCUGAGCCUUUGUCUUUGCAUCAACUUUUACUAGUAGCUUCUUCUCUCCUAUCUGGAGGUCAUGAAGUAGUCUCAGUGCCCGUAGUGUGGAUUCUGGUUCUUUGUAUUCACAAAAUCCAAAAGCUUGAAGUUUUCCAGAUGCCCCUUGCACUCUCUUCCAAC